UGCGCGGAGUGUGAGGGACAUGAGCUAUUCGAGUGCACCGCUUGUGGUUUAGAUGAGGAGUGGAAGGAGUGUUUCCUGUACCAGGGUCACUGCAGACUCCACUGCCCAUGAGAGUUUUAUCAAGACAGAGACCAGUACGCCUUCCAUGUAUGCCCGACUGUGAGAAUAGAUACAGACACCAGUGUCGUCAGCACUGUCCCCAGAGAACCUAUGAGGACCAGGGUAGGGGACUGCGGAUCAGCUGCCCAUAGCCAUGUCUGGACUGUCAAAGCGAUGCCCUCUGUCUCACUUGCCAGCCUGGAUACUUCCUGAACAGUAUGGCAUCUGUGUGAGGGAGUGCCCACCAGACACAUUCAGAGACACUAGAGGGUGGCGCUGUCAGUCAUCUCACAGCUUCUGUUUGACCUGCCACGGCCCUGGCGUGAGAGACUGUGACAGAUGCAGUGGCUGGAGCCGGUCAGAUUACGGGAAGUGCCCAGUGAUCAACUGACCGUAGGGCCAAUUGGUUGAUGGUACUACAACUCACGUGAGCGCUGUGAGAAGUGUGACCGUUCCUGUGAGCUGUGCUUGGGUCCAGGGCCGAAUGCCUGCAGGAUAUGCACACCUCCUCUGUUGGACCUACAAGGUACCAGGCAGUGUGUGGAAUAAUGCCCACGUCGCUUUUACGAGAGCGAACAUGGCUGCAGACAGUGCCAUACCAGCUGCCAGUACUGUACAGUCUGGAGCUGAUGAAACAGGAGUGGACCA